rnacentral:rRNA from 1 species
CGGCGGACGGGUGAGUAACACGUGGAUAACCUACCUAUAAGACUGGGAUAACUUCGGGAAACCGGAGCUAAUACCGGAUAAUAUAUUGAACCGCAUGGUUCAAUAGUGAAAGACGGUUUUGCUGUCACUUAUAGAUGGAUCCGCGCCGCAGUAGCUAGUUGGUAAGGUAACGGCUUACCAAGGCAACAUGCGUAGCCGACCUGAGAGGGUGAUCGGCCACACUGGAACUGAGACACGGUCCAG